AUUGAACGCUGGCGGCAUGCCUUACACAUGCAAGUCGAACGGCAGCACGGACUUCGGUCUGGUGGCGAGUGGCGAACGGGUGAGUAAUAUAUCGGAACAUACCCAGUAGUGGGGGAUAACUAUCCGAAAGGAUAGCUAAUACCGCAUACGAUCUGUGGAUGAAAGCAGGGGAUCUUCGGACCUUGUGCUAUUGGAAUGGCCGAUAUCUGAUUAGCUAGUUGGUAGGGUAAAAGCCUACCAAGGCGACGAUCAGUAGCUGGUCUGAGAGGACGACCAGCCACACUGGAACUGAGACACGGUCCAGACUCCUACGGGAGGCAGCAGUGGGGAAUUUUGGACAAUGGGGGCAACCCUGAUCCAGCAAUGCCGCGUGAGUGAAGAAGGCCCUCGGGUUGUAAAGCUCUUUUGUCAGGGAAGAAACGGAGUUCUCUAAUAUAGGAUUCUAAUGACGGUACCUGAAGAAUAAGCACCGGCUAACUACGUGCCAGCAGCCGCGGUAAUACGUAGGGUGCAAGCGUUAAUCGGAAUUACUGGGCGUAAAGCGUGCGCAGGCGGUUUUGUAAGUCUGAUGUGAAAUCCCCGGGCUCAACCUGGGAACUGCAUUGGAGACUGCAAGGCUAGAGUGUGUCAGAGGGGGGUAGAAUUCCACGUGUAGCAGUGAAAUGCGUAGAGAUGUGGAGGAAUA
rnacentral:rRNA from 1 species